rnacentral:lncRNA from 1 species
UUAUAUGAACAAAAACACACACAACUGUACAGGGAAGGGAUGAGAUUGACUGUGGGGAAUGCCGUCUAAAUCAUGGCCACGGUUUUCUCUUUCACCUCAGAGUCAUGAAAACCCUUCAGGCUUGUUGAGGGAAGAGGAAGUGAUAGAGGGAGAGGCAGAGGAAGAGGAAGCUCUUCAUUUGAAAAGGCCGCAGCCGAUGUUGCUUCUACUGCUAUCUCUUCCUGUGCGGGCGUAGGCACUGGUUUCGGCGAGUAGUUAAAGGAGAAAUCUUUGUUAGCAGACAGCGCCAGCAGCUCCUUCUCCUCCAGCCCCUUUGUCGGUUCAAGACUGCAUC